rnacentral:rRNA from 1 species
UACGUAGGGGGCAAGCGUUGUCCGGAAUCAUUGGGCGUAAAGAGCGUGUAGGCGGCCCGAUAAGUCCGCUGUGAAAGUCCAGGGCUCGACCCUGGAAUGCCGGUGGAUACUGUCGGGCUCGAGUUCGGAAGAGGUGAGUGGAAUUCCUGGUGUAGCGGUGAAAUGCGCAGAUAUCAGGAGGAACACCGGUGGCGAAGGCGGAUCUCUGGGCCUUACCUGACGCUCAGGCGCGAAAGCUAGGGGAGCGAACAGG